UAGUGUAAUUAUAAAAUCCGCUGACAGGACAGGACAGGACAUAGCUUAAAAACUUAAUACAGACUUAGGUAAUCAGCCAGUCUUCUUUGCCAGUUUUACUUUGAAUUAGUGUCUGGGUACCUUUUCAAAGUCACACUGUGGAAUAUUCCUUGAGCAUUUAUUCUCAUAAUAUUAGUAUGCAACUAAACUCUUUCUAUCUAAUUUUCCCUUCCAUUUUAAGUAAUAAAAUGAACACACAAGCCCUAUGGCACUCACGUAUAGACUGGAGCUUUUUUGGGUCCCUUUUUCAACUUUAAGCCAAUUGAUUCUUUACAGUCAUCUUUGGCUUUAUCUCUUGUAGCCACAUAAAAUUGACAUAUAAAUAAAGCUUUGACAUAUAAAUAAAGUUUUACUCACAUAAACCUGAAAGGGUGGUUCUGAAACAUGUCUGUAUUGUGCUAGGCUAGAUGAGGAAGUCUAUUUUGUCCCUUUUCCUUUUUCAGAAUGACACCAAUGACACCUUUUCCUUUUUCUUCCAUUUGUGGAUUUAUCCUGAUGCAGUGAUAAUGCUUACAUUUGUUUGUUUGGUGAGAGCAACAUUUGGAUCCCUGAAAAAUAAAGGUGUUAUGGAAACUUUUCAACCUGUUACUGCCUAUGAACUUGGAAUCUGACAUCAGUGCCCUGUUAUUCUACUCCCAGACCUCUAUUGAGAAGAUGCUUCCAAAGAGCUGGGUCAGGUCAUUGGAAAAAGAUUAAAUGAAAUUAAAGAGGAUGUGAGGUGGAGAGUGUAAA